rnacentral:rRNA from 1 species
GCGACUAAGCGUACACGGUGGAUGCCCUGGCAGUCAGAGGCGAUGAAGGACGUGCUAAUCUGCGAAAAGCGCCGGCGAGGUGAUAUGAACCUUUGACCCGGCGAUGUCCGAAUGGGGAAACCCAGUGCAAUUCGUUGCACUAUCGUUAACUGAAUACAUAGGUUAACGAGGCGAACCGGGGGAACUGAAACAUCUAAGUACCCCGAGGAAAAGAAAUCA